CCGCCUGAAAAUUUUCGCCUCGUUGUCUCUAUUUCUUUUCAGACCGCACCUUUUCAGUGUCCGCCACCACUUCUCCCUUCACAACCCCAACCUCGAAAACGAAGGCGCCAAACCAUUCCCCAAACGCUCUCGCGUCCGCCCGACAGCUCGCCUGCCUGCCUCUCCGUCGUCGCCGAGUCCCUCGCCGGCUCUACCAGGCGGUGGCGAAGGCACUUCGGCGGGGACGCUCAACCGCCCCGCGGGCGGCGUCGACGGUCGGUUCCCGGCGGCCUCGCGGAGGUUGCAUCCCGUGUCGAAUCGAGGUAUUUGUCGAUUAUUCCAUGCAAGAGCUUUACGGGAGAAAUGAAAGUUGUGCUUUAUUUUCAAGUGCAGGCAGGAUCCUACGCCAAAUGCCUCUCUUUGAUAAGAAACCUUUCUCCUUGCUGGAGCCCCCUAAGGACUUGGAUUCAAAGGAGAAGGUGUUCCAAAUUCGAUUCACGAAGGAGAUAUUCCGAGAUUAUGAAGAAUACCUGAAGAGGCUAAACCUUUAUCGUCAAAGAGUUUGGACAUGUAAUAUAUCUGGAAAAUCUAAUUUAACUUUUGAAGAAGCUUUGGUAUCUGAGCACAAAGCGAUGGAGAAGGCUCAAAAUUUGCCAACUGAGCUAAUGGCUCAAGUUCUUCGGAUGACUCAAUACAGCCCUCUUGGUUUAUAUGAACUUGUUGAUAAGAUAUAUGCUAGUCUGCUGGAAGAAGUAUUUGAGGGAAUAGAAUUACAUGCUAAUAAGGAUGGUAAUGUGGCACCUUGCAAGAUUUUGAAGAUUUUAGAUUCUGGUGGCACAAAGAUGUGUGAAGUUGGUUGGAUUCGGAAGGGUAAGGCUAUAACCAACACAUCAGUAAUCAAAGCUGCAGAUCUGUUUUACCGGAGGGCACCUGUUAGCAGGAAUACGCUGAAGUUUUUUAUUAGAGAUGCUACGUCACAAAGUAAUCCAUGGGUUAUCCAUGAGAAUCUUGCCAAAAAAUUUGGCAUAACCAUCGAGCCCCCUGAUAGUGUAAUGAAGAAAGGGAGAAAAAGACAAGAGAAUGAAACUGUUGAAGAUGGAAGGAAAAAGCUCAAGACAGAUGAAGAACAUGCUUAUGUGCUGAUUAAGUAUCCAAUAGAUGAUCUGCUAGUAAGGCCCAAUGCAGAUGAUCCGUCUUUAUUUAAGAGACCUCUUCUGGCUACAGAUUUUAGAGUACCAAGAUGUUCUGUGGGAGAUCUCCUUAUGGUAUGGGACUUCUGCUCGUCUUUUGGGAGGGCUCUGAAUCUGUCCCCAUUUCCGCUAACAGAUCUGGAGAAUGCAAUUUGCCACAAAGAAAGCAAUGUUCUUCUUGUGGAAAUACAUGCAGCUUUGUUUCACUUGCUUAUGAAGGAUGAAGGUGACUAUUUCACUGUUCCGCAGAACAAGAAACAGAAGUUAAAGGUAAGUUCAGUAACAUGGGCUGAGUAUCUAUGUGACUUCUUGGAAAUGACAAAAAAUGAAGAACUAUCCACUAACAUUGCAACAGUAAGAAGGGGAUAUUAUGGUCUUAUUGACACUAAUAUAAAGCUUAAGAUCCUUCGGGAACUAGUGGAAGAAGCUAUUGAAACCUCUGCCAUAAGGGAGAUACUAAGUGAUCGUGUGGACCAGAAACAAGUCCUUAAUGCAACAAAAAGAGAGAACACCAGAAAGGACAAAAAAGAGCAAAAUCUGAACACUGAAAUUGCCAUGAAAAAUGAGGAGAAUCAGACAGAUGCUGUGCAAGGUGGCCAUGAAGGUGUAGAUGAGCUGGUUAGGAGAAAAGAAGAAAAUGACAAGAGUAAUAUUUCUCGGGGUAGGACAGAAGUGAAACGACACAUGGUACAGCACCUUGAGACGGAGAUCGAGAAAUUAUCCAUCCGUUCCAGCCCUCUUGGUAAAGACAGACAGUACAGUAGGUACUGGUUUUUCAAGCGUGAAGGAAGACUUUUUGUUGAAACUGCAGAUUCCAGAGAAUGGGGUUACUACAGCACUAAGGAAGAGCUUGAUGCGCUCAUGGACUCAUUGAAUGUCAAAGGUAUAAGGGAGAGAGCUUUGAAACGGCAACUAGAGAAGUUCUAUAGUAAGAUAAGUGUACUUGUACUUGGAGGCUUACAAGGUGUUUGGUUUGUGGAAUCAAACCAUCCUAGAUGAGAUGGUGCAUCAUAUGUCCAUUCUUCAAAUUAGGUGGAAUGAUUCCAUUUCUCAUAUCAUUACCAAUUAUUAGCUUGUGAGGAAUGGAGUGAUAAAUGAUGGUGCAUCAACCUAUUCCAUUUCAGGAAAAAACGAGGAAUCAGUAGGCAAUGGACUAACUCAUUCCUCAACCAAACACCCUUAAUGCCCUAGAGAAACGAUCAAAAGACAUCGCAAACAAGACGUUACUUGAAGAGGGUGUGCUGCGCCGUUCCACACGUGUCCGGGCCCAGCCAAAGGACAAUCCGUCCAUGGCAUUCCUCAAGUAUGUCAACAAGUGGAGGGAUAACUGAGGUACUCUGAGCUAUGUAGGCUUUUGCUCGGUUAGGUCGUUGCAGUGACUCGCCAUACUCAUGGCUGGUUUACUGACACCUCAUUAGCUAGUGAAACCUGUAUCAGAACCUACUUUUCUUCUCUCUCUUUUUUUUUUUAAAUUUUAACUUAGCUUUCAUGUGUGUUCACAAAUGAACCCCUCCCCCCCCUCCGUAAUUGAACUAUGCUAGGCUUUACCGUUUUUAGAACAGUGGCCAAAUUUUUUGCAUGGAUGAUGUAAACGUGACAAGGCCGGUGUGGAGAUGCUUCGAUCUGCAAGGGUGGGCCGCGGGCCAAUGUUGGGGAUUUUUGACUUAAUACUACUGCCUUGAAUUUUUUAGCACCA